UACUCUAGGGCAGUACGGUCAGGUCUUCUACUCUAGGGCAGUAUGGUCAGGUCUUCUACUCUAGGGCAGUACGGUCAGGUCUUCUACUCUAGGGCAGUACGGUCAGGUCUUCUACUCUAGGGCAGUACGGUCAGGUCUUCUACUCUAGGGCAGUACGGUCAGGUCUUCUACUCUAGGGCAGUACGGUCAGGUCUUCUACUCUAGGGCAGUACGGUCAGGUCUUCUACUCUAGGGCAGUACGGUCAGGUCUUCUACUCUAGGGCAGUACGGUCAGGUCUUCUACUCUAGGGCAGUACGGUCAGGUCUUCUACUCUAGGGCAGUACGGUCAGGUCUUCUACUCUAGGGCAGUACGGUCAGGUCUUCUACUCUAGGGCAGUACGGUCAGGUCUUCUACUCUAGGGCAGUACGGUCAGGUCUUCUACUCUAGGGCAGUACGGUCAGGUCUUCUACUCUAGGGCAGUACGGUCAGGUCUUCUACUCUAGGGCAGUACGGUCAGGUCUUUUACUCUAGGGCAGUACGGUCAGGUCUUCUACUCUAGGGCAGUACGGUCAGGUCUUCUACUCUAGGGCAGUACGGUCAGGUCUUCUACUCUAGGGCAGUACGGUCAGGUCUUCUACUCUAGGGCAGUACGGUCAGGUCUUCUACUCUAGGGCAGUACGGUCAGGUCUUCUACUCUAGGGCAGUACGGUCAGGUCUUCUACUCUAGGGCAGUACGGUCAGGUCUUCUACUCUAGGGCAGUACGGUCAGGUCUUCUACUCUAGGGCAGUACGGUCAGGUCUUCUACUCUAGGGCAGUACGGUCAGGUCUUCUACUCUAGGGCAGUACGGUCAGGUCUUCUACUCUAGGGCAGUACGGUCAGGUCUUCUACUCUAGGGCAGUACGGUCAGGUCUUCUACUCUAGGGCAGUACGGUCAGGUCUUCUACUCUAGGGCAGUACGGUCAGGUCUUCUACUCUAGGGCAGUACGGUCAGGUCUUCUACUCUAGGGCAGUACGGUCAGGUCUUCUACUCUAGGGCAGUACGGUCAGGUCUUCUACUCUAGGGCAGUACGGUCAGGUCUUCUACUCUAGGGCAGUACGGUCAGGUCUUCUACUCUAGGGCAGUACGGUCAGGUCUUCUACUCUAGGGCAGUACGGUCAGGUCUUCUACUCUAGGGCAGUACGGUCAGGUCUUCUACUCUAGGGCAGUACGGUCAGGUCUUCUACUCUAGGGCAGUACGGUCAGGUCUUCUACUCUAGGGCAGUACGGUCAGGUCUUCUACUCUAGGGCAGUACGGUCAGGUCUUCUACUCUAGGGCAGUACGGUCAGGUCUUCUACUCUAGGGAAGUACGGUCAGGUCUUCUACUCUAGGGCAGUACGGUCAGGUCUUCUACUCUAGGGCAGUACGGUCAGGUCUUCUACUCUAGGGCAGUACGUUCACGACUUAGUUUUUAUUGAAUUGUUUCCAAGAAAUGUUAGUCUCACCCUAUUC